rnacentral:lncRNA from 1 species
AGGGAGUCGUGGUACAAGCUGUCUGCGGGGACUGCGAAAUGGCCCUCGACAAAGUCUCAGGACUGGGUCCGCCAGAUUCUGAGUCGGCAGAAGGGAUAUAAUUCUACCCACAACAGGAGAGACAUCGCCAAGGUGAAUAUCUUCUACCAGCAAUUGAACUACCAGUCUGUGGAUGAAUCUCCAGUGUACACAGUAAGUAGUACUGGAUCAGCUCAUUGCUUUAGUCUUCAUUCCUGACUCUCAUAAUGGCCAACAUCUGACGCUUCUGAGGGAAGAUGCAAAUGGCUGGGGAGAAUUUCCUUCCUGACCCUAACAUGGGAUCAGAUUAUGCCCUGAAGCAUGGGGUUAAAUAAAAUCACAAGAUAUUAUCA